rnacentral:rRNA from 1 species
CAGUCGCCGCGGUAAUACGAAGGGUGCAAGCGUUACUCGGAAUUACUGGGCGUAAAGCGUGCGUAGGUGGUGGUUUAAGUCCGUUGUGAAAGCCCUGGGCUCAACCUGGGAAUUGCAGUGGAUACUGGGUCACUAGAGUGUGGUAGAGGAUAGUGGAAUUUCCGGUGUAGCAGUGAAAUGCGUAGAGAUCGGAAGGAACAUCUGUGGCGAAGGCGACUAUCUGGGCCAACACUGGCACUGGGGCACGAAAGCGUGGGGAGCAAACAGGAUUAGAUACCCCUGUAGUCCCUGUCUCUUAUAA